rnacentral:misc_RNA from 1 species
UUUCCGUAGGUGAACCUGCGGAAGGAUCAUUCAUAAUAAGUGUUUUAUGGCACUUUUUUAAAUCCAUAUCCACCUUGUGUGCAAUGUCAGGGUUGAUUUUUCUCUCGAGAGGAUCAACCCCAAACAUCAACUAUAUCUCAACUCUUUGUUUGAAAAAUAUUAUGAAUAAAACAAUUCAAAAUACAACUUUCAACAACGGAUCUCUUGGCUCUC